rnacentral:rRNA from 1 species
UACGGAGGGUGCAAGCGUUAUCCGGAUUUACUGGGUUUAAAGGGUGUGUAGGCGGGCAGGUAAGUCAGUGGUGAAAUCUCCGAGCUUAACUCGGAAACUGCCGUUGAUACUAUUUGUCUUGAAUAUUGUGGAGGUAAGCGGAAUAUGUCAUGUAGCGGUGAAAUGCUUAGAUAUGACAUAGAACACCAAUUGCGAAGGCAGCUUACUACACAACGAUUGACGCUGAGGCACGAAAGCGUGGGGAUCAAACAGG